UAAGCUUUUGUGAUGAAUCCUGAGAUCCC
rnacentral:piRNA from 1 species